UGGGGAAUAUUGCGCAAUGGCCGCAAGGCUGACGCAGCGACGCCGCGUGUGGGAUGACGGCCUUCGGGUUGUAAACCACUGUCAGGGGGGACGAAUACCCGGCCUCGAAUAGGGGACCGGGGGGGACGGUACCCCCAGAGGAAGCACCGGCUAACUCCGUGCCAGCAGCCGCGGUAAUACGGAGGGUGCGAGCGUUGUCCGGAAUCACUGGGCGUAAAGGGUGCGUAGGCGGCUACUUAAGUCGCGUGUGAAAUCCCGGGGCUCAACUCCGGGGCGGCACGCGAUACUGGGUGGCUGGAGCUCGGUAGGGGCGAGUGGAAGUCCCGGUGUAGCGGUGGAAUGCGUAGAUAUCGGGAAGAACACCGGUGGCGAAGGUGGCUCGCUGGGCCGAUGCUGACGCUGAGGCACGAAAGCGUGGGGAGCAAACAGG
rnacentral:rRNA from 1 species